rnacentral:rRNA from 1 species
AGCGAACGCUGGCGGCAUGCUUAACACAUGCAAGUCGCGCGGGCAGCAAUGUCAGCGGCGGACGGGUGAGUAACGCGUAGGAAUGUGUCCAGAGGUGGGGGCGAACCCGGGGAACUGGGGCUAAUACCGCCUAUGACCCGGGGGUCAAAGGCGUAAUGCGGCUUUGGAGCAGCCUGCGUCCGAUUAGGUAGUUGGGGGGGUAAUGGGCUACCAAGCCUGCCGAUCGGUAGCUGGUCUGAGAGGUUGAUAAGCAACACUGGGACUGGGACACGGCCCAGACUCCUACGGGAGGCAGCAGUGGGGAAUAUUGGACAAUGGGCGCAAGCCGGAUCCAGCAAUGCCGCGUGUGUGAAGAAGGUCUUCGGAUCGUAAAGCACUUUCGACGGGGACGAUGAUGACGGUACCCGUAGAAGAAGCCCCGGCUAACUUCGUGCCAGCAGCCGCAGUAACAC